rnacentral:rRNA from 1 species
AACAGGGAUGGGAUGCCCCUUUC